CUCUGCACUCUGGCCUGGGCAACGGAGCGAAACUCUGUCUCAAAAAAAAGAAAGAAAGAAAGAAAUGAGGGUGACUGCAGAAGCCUCUCUGAGUGAAAGGGCAGUGGAGAUGGCCCGCAGUGUGCGGAGCUGCUGGCGUUCAUGCCGAGCCAUGGGCCCUGGCAGAGCUGGUCCUGGAGGUUCAGCAGCUGCUUGGCAUAAGCCACUUCAAUCCCCUGGCAGUGAGUUUGGAGAAUCUUUUAGCUUUGCUCCUAAAGGUAGAUUCCAGGUACUCUCAGAAGAAUGAUAAAGGGAGGGAGAAACAGGGCAGAUGAAUGAGAAAAAAGCUAGAAAAAGAUUUGGAUUGAUGCUAGAAAAUAAUGAGAGCUCUUUGUGGGUUUAUUUAUGUAAAGUAGAGUGCUAAUACCUUGACUUGGCUGUUAUUUAGGACCUUCCCUCCUCCCCUGAUUACCUUCCAAACUGACACACACAUACACCCCAGAGCAAUUCAGAGCUCUGGUCUGGAAAAUCUUCCCACUGAGGCGUCAGUGGCUUGCCCUGUGAUGACAGGUUUAAUGAUUUUCUAUCUCUGCAUUCCACUGGGACCACCUACCCAGAGGCCACGCCCUACUGACCGGGUUAGCCAGAGCCUGAGACUAAGCGUGAGCACACAGAAGGCAGUACCAGUGCAGGUGCCAGGAGAGCUGCAUUUUGCUUUGAGUGAAACGCUCUGGUUGGCUGUGUGGCCAUGUCCAUGUUGCUUGCUCUCUCUGUAAUUCAGAGUCCCAAAUUAUAAAAUGGGACUGAUGGUUCUUGUCUCCUAGAAAUGUGAUGAGAACAGAGUAAAUUAUUGGUCUUCUGCUUUUUUUUUUUUAGGUAGGAUUUCCUAGGCUCUGUUAUACCAGAGAAGAAAAUGUCCUUAGAAGACAUUUAAUCAGAGAAUAAACAGAGAGAAGUCAAACUUGCUCACAACCUGCCUUGUAGUCUCUUACAUGUCUCCUUCCAGAGAAGUCCAAGGGAAUCUUCAGUAAUUUCUGGCCAGCAACCUGGAGUAGGAGGUGGAGCUGCUGAUGCACUGUAAUUUGCACCUGUUGAAGGAAUUUAUCUUAAGUCCUGAAGCCUAGCCACUUGAGACAACUGAGAGCAAAUCAUCCGUGGCUUAACAGCAGGCUUUGGAUUCAAGUCCCCUUUUCUCCUGUCGAGGGAAGUGAGUCCAUGAACCGGCCUUCAUCUGAAAGCCACAGCGAAGCACCUCCUAGCCCAAGUCUAGCUGCUGUGUGGCAGCUCCAGCGGUGUGACCUGUGACUGCCCUGCAGACACCUAACAAGCGCUGCGUGAGCUAUUAAUAAUAAAAUCAACUCUUCUCCCUCCCCCCCCGCGAGGGGGGUUCCCUCGUCAGGGCCCAGAACCCGCUGGGGUAGAAUCGGGGCUGGCGUGCGAAGGAGCUGGCGGCAGGGGGUGUGGGAUGCGGUGUUCCCGAGGAGACAGAUGAAGGAUUUGGGUUGUGUGGGAAGGGAACUGCGGAAUUCCUCCCCUUGGUUCCUGAGGGGGGCUCCGAAGGAGACAGAUUAGGAUGCAGAGCGCAGCCCGGGCGACCGAGGGCGAGGAGGCGAGCCAAGGACACCAACCAGCCCGAGCGCGCCUCGAGGACGCCCCGCGUGGACCGCGCUCCAAGCUCCUCGGCCUCGCCUUCCAACCAUCCGCCCACCGGCCCCAAAGCAGCGAGCGCACUGUGAGCGCCCCACCCUGCGUCCGCAGGUGGGUGGGCCAGAGAACCGCACGCAGCUAGGAGGGACCCCGGCUCCCCCUCCGCCAACCCCGGGACCGCGGCGCGCGCGGCC